rnacentral:rRNA from 1 species
GACGAACGCUGGCGGCGUGCUUAACACAUGCAAGUCGAACGGAAAGGCCCUGCUUUUGUGGGGUACUCGAGUGGCGAACGGGUGAGUAACACGUGAGUAACCUGCCCUUGACUUUGGGAUAACUUCAGGAAACUGGGGCUAAUACCGGAUAGGAGCUCCUGCUGCAUGGUGGGGGUUGGAAAGUUUCGGCGGUUGGGGAUGGACUCGCGGCUUAUCAGCUUGUUGGUGGGGUAGUGGCUUACCAAGGCUUUGACGGGUAGCCGGCCUGAGGGGGUGACCGGCCACAUUGGGACUGAGAUACGGCCCAGACUCCUACGGGAGGCAGCAGUGGGGAAUAUUGCACAAUGGGCGGAAGCCUGAUGCAGCAACGCCGCGUGCGGGAUGACGGCCUUCGGGUUGUAAACCGCUUUCGCCUGUGACGAAGCGUGAGUGACGGUAAUGGGUAAAGAAGCACCGGCUAACUACGUG